CUACGGGUCGCAGCAGUGAGGAAUAUUGCGCAAUGGGGGCAACCCUGACGCAGCGACGCCGCGUGGAUGAUGAAGGCCUUCGGGUUGUAAAAUCCUGUCAGAUGGGAAGAAAUGUAUAUUGUCUAAUAGGCAGUGUAUUUGACGGUACCAUCAAAGGAAGCACCGGCUAACUCCGUGCCAGCAGCCGCGGUAAUACGGAGGGUGCGAGCGUUGUUCGGAAUUACUGGGCGUAAAGCGCGCGUAGGCGGCUUUGUAAGUCAGAUGUGAAAGCCCACGGCUCAACCGUGGACGUGCAUUUGAAACGGGAAGGCUUGAGUAGUGGAGGGGGUAGUGGAAUUCCCGGUGUAGAGGUGAAAUUCGUAGAGAUCGGGAGGAAUACCGGUGGCGAAGGCGACUGCCUGGCCAGAUACUGACGCUGAGGUGCGAAAGCGUGGGGAGCAAACAGGAUUAGAUACCCGUGUAGUC
rnacentral:rRNA from 1 species